CUCCGGCUUGCCCCACCUGGCUCACCUCCCAGGAGCCACACAUGCAGGCCGCAGCAUAGCAACCGAACAUGGCGGCUGCGCAGGCGCCGCCAGUCAGUGGCCAGGAGCGGCGGCGGCAGCAACAGGAGGCGAUCUCGCGAGAGGCGAGGCCAAAACCCUGCCUCGCUAGCGCAGGGAGAAGUCGCACCAGUCGGAGCGCAGAGGGACACGCAGACAUUUCAGCAGAGGCCUCAAAGGCAGAACAAAAUAGUGCAAGGAGCCGCACAUCCGCACAGUGCUGAGACCCUGCCCAGGACAAGCUUGGCCGCAGUAUUCCCUUUGGCACCCCCACCCACCUGGAACAAAGCCUGAUGUAAAGUCUGGGUGCGACUCAGACCGGCCUGGGAAAGAAUUUAUUUAAUAAAUGGUGGAAAGUGGCUUCCUUGACGUGUCUUCGAUGGCUUUUUUAUAAAGCAUUUGGUUUGUCUACUCGUCUGUUUUUGCGCCAUCUCUUUCCACAAAGAUGGCUUAUAGCAGGGAUACUUACAACAAAAUGAUGCUGGGAAAACAAAAACAAAGAAGUAGAGAAUUAGGCCUGAGAAAACUAGGAGUAGAGAGUCACGAUUAGAUACAGAGGAGCAUAGAUGUGUAGUCUAGGAAGGCCAACUAAUUGUUAUAGCUGAAAUUCAAAUUCAGUUAGCUAAAAUGUUCCUAGUGUCAAAGGAAGAAUGGGCCACACAGUUGCAUAAUCCUUAGUAUUAGGGAGAAGGAAAAGGUUCCAGUUAUUCAGAGGGAUGUUCUCUUGCCUUAUUCCUUUAAUAAGUAUCUGUUAAAGGCCCACCAUGUGCCAAGCACCAUGCCCGGCAAGCACUGCACUCACCCCCCAGGAACUCAGUGUCUAAAGGAGACUGGGUGAAAGAACUAUAUUUGUGUGCCUAUGAUGUGUCAAAUACUAUGCAUUUAGUUAUGCAGUUACUGUAUGUUAGACACUAUGCAUUUAAUUAUUUACCUGCUGUAUAUCAGACACCAUGCAUUUUCAUUUAACCCUCAUAAGCACUUACAUCAAGUAGACACUGUUACCUCUUUUUUACAG
rnacentral:lncRNA from 1 species